rnacentral:rRNA from 1 species
AACAUCUCUCUUUGUUUUAAUUAAAUAAAGAGUUGAGCCUGCUCGGUGAUUUAAAUUUAACAGCUGCGGUAUUUUAACUGUACUAAGGUAGCAUAAUAAUUUGCCUUAUAAAUUGAGGCUAGAAUGAAAGGUUUGACGAAGGUUUAUCUGUCUCUAUUUUAUUUAUUAGAAAUUAAUUUUUUAGUGAGAAAGCUAAAAUUUUUUAAAGGGACGAGAAGACCCUAUUGAGCUUAAAUUUAAAAGUAUUAUAGUAAUUUUUUUAAUAUUUUGAUAAAUUUUAAUUGGGGUGAUUAAGGAAUAAAAGGAUAAUAAAUUGGUAACUUCCUUAAACUUAAUACUAUUAGGUUAAGUAACCAAUAAUAUUGCUUAUAAUAAAGUUACCAUAGGGAUAACAGCGUAAUUUACUUAGAGAGUUCUUAUUGAAAAGUGAGAUUGCGACCUGCGAUGUUGGAUUAAAGUAACCUUAAGGUGCAGUAGCUUUAAAAGGUAAAUCUGUUCGAUUUUUAAAACUUUACGU